UACGUAGGGUGCGAGCGUUAAUCGGAAUUACUGGGCGUAAAGCGUGCGCAGGCGGUCUGUUAAGACCGAUGUGAAAUCCCCGGGCUUAACCUGGGAACUGCAUUGGUGACUGGCAGGCUUUGAGUGUGGCAGAGGGGGGUAGAAUUCCACGUGUAGCAGUGAAAUGCGUAGAGAUGUGGAGGAAUACCGAUGGCGAAGGCAGCCCCCUGGGUUAACACUGACGCUCAGGCACGAAAGCGUGGGGGAGCAAACAGG
rnacentral:rRNA from 1 species